rfam:Hepatitis C virus isolate NE274, complete genome
UAAGCUUAUAGCUCAGGGGGGAAAGGCCAAAAUCUGUGGCCUUUACCUCUUUAACUGGGCUGUACGCACC